GAGGGUAUAGCUCAGUGGUAGGAUACAUGCUUAGCACGCAUGAGGUCCUGGGUUCAAUCCUCAGUGCCUCCA
rnacentral:tRNA from 1 species